UACGUAGGCAGCAAGCGUUGUUCGGAUUUACUGGGCGUAAAGGGCGCGUAGGCGGUCAGUGCAAGUCAGUUGUGAAAUCUCCGGGCUUAACUCGGAAAGGUCAACUGAUACUGCUCGACUAGAGUGCGGAAGGGGCAACUGGAAUUCUUGGUGUAGCGGUGAAAUGCGUAGAUAUCAAGAGGAACACCUGCGGCGAAGGCGGGUUGCUGGGCCGACACUGACGCUGAAGCGCGAAAGCUAGGGGAGCGAACGGG
rnacentral:rRNA from 1 species